GACGAACGCUGGCGGCGUGCUUAACACAUGCAAGUCGAACGGAAAGACCCUGCUUUUGUGGGGUGCUCGAGUGGCGAACGGGUGAGUAACACGUGAGUAACCUGCCCUUGACUUUGGGAUAACUUCAGGAAACUGGGGCUAAUACCGGAUAGGAGCUCCUGCUGCAUGGUGGGGGUUGGAAAGUUUCGGCGGUUGGGGAUGGACUCGCGGCUUAUCAGCUUGUUGGUGGGGUAGUGGCUUACCAAGGCUUUGACGGGUAGCCGGCCUGAGAGGGUGACCGGCCGCAGUGGACCGUGCAGACGCCCCACACGUGUAGGGCAGGUGGUGGUGGGAUUUUUGGGCCACGGGAGGGACGCCACACCCGGCCACUGCGGGCGCGGGCUGACGGCUGCCUGUUUGUACACCGCUUUCCCCUGUGACGAGGAGUGGGUGACUGUCAGUGAUAAAGCACCACCGCUUACCUACGUGCGACCAGCCCGUGUAGUCGACGAAAUCGCCCUUGUCUCACC
rnacentral:rRNA from 1 species